CUAGGUUUUCAUUAUUUAAACCUAUCAUUGGUUUGUAAUUUCUCAGUUGAUGAAUUGAUUAAGAAUUAUGAAGUUGGCUUGGCCGUUUUCUCUCCUCCUCCCCGCUUCUGCCUUCUUCUUCUCUUCUCCUCCCCCUUCCCUUCUUGUUACUUAUUAAUCUUCCUACAUCAAAUUGGUAUCAGAGCUAAACUUGGAAAAAUAUUUUAGGUGUUCAUUCGUCUGCCUGCAAUCCACAGUUCACACGCCAUACCCAGUAUCAUCCCAUUCAAAGUGAUAACUCUUCUGCCACCACCGCUGCCGCCAUAAUUGAGAGACAGGCCCAGCCCCAACUCCACUGCCAUACCUUCAUAAUCACCACCACCCGGCGACCGCUUCUAAACUGCCGACCCAAGCCUUGGACACUUCGGCAUCCACCAGUCAUCCACAAGACAACUCCAACCAGCCAGACAAUCACCAACUGAAAACUUACCGGCAACAGCCAUUCCAGAAUCUGUUGCAGCAAAAAAAUAAAACAAGAAAAAUUCAGCCGCUUCUUCCAGCACCCUGCCCGGAACGGAACCCCAGCCUCGUCGCCGCUAACAGCCGCCAGCAUACUGCCGGCUGCUCCAAUAAUCGCCAUCCCCCAACCCAGUCCCUCGUCGAGCCAGCCACCAACCCAAUCGUCGCCUUCUACAACGUUCGAUCGACUGUUGUGAAUUAUGGGUUUAGGCUGGGUUAUUAUUUCAAUUAAUUGGGUUAUUAAUUAAGUGGGUUGGGUAUUAGUUAUUAAUUGGGUUUGGGCUUAAUUUCAAUUGGGUUGGAUUUAUUUGUAUUGCUUGGGCUUGUUUAAGGUUUUAUGUUUGAUUUAGGUCCAAAUUUGUGAAAUGGGCUCAUUUAUUAUUUUGUUAUUCUGAUUUUGUAUUAUUAUUAAAAAAAAAAAGUCAAAAAAAAAAAAGAAAAGAAAGAGCAAAAAAAAAAAAAAAAAAAAAAAAAUGGGAAAAUUUAGAAAAAAAAAAAAAAAAAAAAAAAGUAUCGUGAAUUUUGAAUUUUUUUGACAUCAUUUACAGGUUCAUUUUAGUUGACUGUUCAGUACCGCACCUCGACGAACACGGAAUUUUUAUCUUGGCAUCUCAGGGGUUAGUAGUUCAGAGCGUGGAGACAUUCGACGCUGGAAUGACUCAAACCAACAGUACUCAGGGAGUUCCUGAUCCUAUUUAUUUUUAGUUGACGCUAUUUCUUUAUUUUAGAAUUGCAUCAAUUAAGUCGUUGUGUGCUGGCCAUUUGAUAAUAUUGCCUUAAACCUAUUCGAUUAUAUUUCACGAACUAAAUUCCAUUACUCAAUUGUUUACCCCACGUGACUAGACCUAGUAUUUGGACAUUUGCUUUUCUAUUUUAUUAGCAUUAGUAGUAUUAGCUUGCGAUCGAGCCAUAAGUAACCCCAACCUUUAAAUUGACAAAAUAACAAAAAAAAAAUAAAAAAAAAUAAAUAAUAAUAAUAAUAAUUUCAAUAACUAA
rnacentral:lncRNA from 1 species